UACGUAGGGUCCGAGCGUUGUCCGGAAUUAUUGGGCGUAAAGAGCUCGUAGGCGGUUUGUCGCGUCUGCUGUGAAAUCCCGAGGCUCAACCUCGGGCCUGCAGUGGGUACGGGCAGACUGGAGUGCGGUAGGGGAGAAUGGAAUUCCUGGUGUAGCGGUGGAAUGCGCAGAUAUCAGGAGGAAUACCGAUGGCGAAGGCAGGUCUCUGGGCUAUAACUGACGCUCAUGCACGAAAGCGUGGGGAGCAAACAGG
rnacentral:rRNA from 1 species